GUCUGGCAGAGGUUUUAACAACGAUCUUAUACUGCUUCCCAAAGGAAGAAGUUACUUGCUGGCAUUUGGUUUCCCAGGACCCAGGACCACGCACUGCGGGGCCGUCAUGUACAUCAGCCAGGGCUCUUGGUUUUCACCUGAGCAUGUGUAGAAGUACC